UAUAUUUUAUUGUAAAAAGCAUAAAAAUUUUUGAAGUUUUUGGUAUUAGUUUAAGACUUUUAAAUAUAA
rnacentral:tRNA from 1 species